AUUCAUGCUAUCCCAUGUUGCAUGUUCGAGUGUAGACCUACGGAAACCCUUGCCGCGAGGAGAGGUGAGUGAACCAGUACACGAGCCACCUACGACAUAAUUCCUCGGGCGGCCCAGGUCAACUCGAAGUUACCCCAGGCACCCCCAGUGCAGGACACAUUGGGGGUAGAAAGCGGAUAGAAUAAGCAAAAGAUCAAAGCAGGCCGCGAGGCAUACUUUUAAAGUGGUAUCUGCAAAGAAAUUUGUAUUAACAAAAGGGUCAAAAAUAAAAAGGCGAUACUAAUUAAUGCUUCCUGCGACCUUGGAGGCCUCUCGGUUGGACAUAUAGCCGUGGACACCAUGCUUGGUAGCAAUCCUCGUCAGUCGGUGUGGUAUUGAUCACAGCUGGUGUUAUCCUGCGGCUGCGUAGCAAGUCAGAUGCUCGCUCAUUCGGUUUGAAACGAGAAGAACAAAAGAGAACACAAGAAAACAUUAGAUUCUGAUAGAAUUUGCUCCAUAUACCCAGUUGGCGACACCCCUUUAGCGCUCCGAGCGCCACCACAGUCAAGUUACAGGGUUUCCAUGAUACCAACGGAGGUGGUGGCUGUUUGUGGCGGUGAGUGAGUUGCAACAAACGAUUUUCGAGAGGCGUAAACAGGGACUCUGCCGGGAACCGAUGGUCCGUUAAUGUGAAGUCUGCACCAGCAAACUGGUUGCGCCAAUUCAUCGGAUUCGCGUCGUUGAAAUGUUGAUGUUCGAUAUAAAGGACCAGGAGUUGAUAGCGAAAAUAGCGAUUGACAAGGCCGCCACAGCAAUUCCCACCCCAUGUGUCGUGUCCCAAACAACUUGAAUGCAACCAGCCCCGUUCCUGGCAGAGUACCUCAGGCCCAAAUAAAAGAGAAGUCGCACAAAGUUCAGUUAUAAUAAAUAAUACGCACAAAGUUCAGAAUAAUAAAAAAAAUAGAUUUUUAUUUUA